UGGGGAAUUUUGCGCAAUGGGGGAAACCCUGACGCAGCAACGCCGCGUGAGUGAUGAAGGCCUUCGGGUCGUAAAGCUCUGUCAGAGGGGAAGAAAUGAGUUGUGCUAAUACCACAAUUUCUUGACGGUACCCUCAAAGGAAGCACCGGCUAACUCCGUGCCAGCAGCCGCGGUAAUACGGAGGGUGCAAGCGUUGUUCGGAUUUAUUGGGCGUAAAGCGCGUGUAGGCGGUUUCUUAAGUCUGAUGUGAAAGCCCUGGGCUCAACCCAGGAAGUGCAUUGGAUACUGGGAGACUUGAAUACGGGAGAGGGUAGUGGAAUUCCUAGUGUAGGAGUGAAAUCCGUAGAUAUUAGGAGGAACACCGGUGGCGAAGGCGGCUACCUGGACCGAUAUUGACGCUGAGACGCGAAAGCGUGGGGAGCAAACA
rnacentral:rRNA from 1 species